UACGGAGGAUUCGAGCGUUAUCCGGAUUUAUUGGGUUUAAAGGGUGCGUAGGCGGCGUUAUAAGUCAAUGGUGAAAGACUUGAGCUUAACUCAGGCGAGCCGUUGAUACUGUAGAGCUAGAACAUAGAUGGAGUAGGCGGAAUGAAUCAUGUAGCGGUGACAUGCAUAGAUAUGAUUCAGAACACCGAUCGCGAAGGCAGCUUACUAAGCUAUAGUUGACGCUGAGGCACGAAAGCGUGGGGAUCGAACAGG
rnacentral:sRNA from 1 species